GGCAAACAAAACAGGUGCGCAGUUUCUCCGAAAGCAAAUUGAAGCGGCAACUAACGAAAAAGAAGAGUAAGUGUGAAAAUAAGUGUAACAGUGCGUACCGGAACACCACGUCUCCACCGGGAACAGAUUCGUCGUCGUCCGUAAGAUAAUCUUCACCCUGACUGCGGCAGUGCGUCGUGGCUCUCGCCUGAACUCUAAUCUCAGAUGAACUAAAGGUCUGCUGCCGAAAAGUUUUCACGAUGUGGCAGGAAAAGCUUCUACAAGUUGUGAUAUCUAUAGCAAUCCAUAGCAGCGUCGGAAGGGUUGGACUCGAGGGAGCCUGGUCAGUACUGGGCAGAACGGUGAAAAUCAACUAAAGCAACAAGGUACUCCCGUCAACCAUGGUGGACCAACAACACUGAACACAGAAAUCAUCAAUCAACUACAAGAAGUACUAGCAUCUGUAUAUAUAGCAUCCCCUCCCAUCUGUUAUAAUCAAUGCCUUGUAAUAUUUCUAUCUUUUUUAACAUGUGCACAAAUAUUAAUAAAAAAAUCUGCGGGGGUGGGGCGUUUGACUAGUCUCUGUAAUUGAUCCAAAAAUUCCCCGGAAGCUGGCAAACUCACUGGUAAAAUUCUUGGUUGAUCUUGGUUCACCUAAGAACAUCUCAAGUAGUGCCAGCUAAAUUGGCUUUGAGUUAUAAAUUUAUAUAACGCCUAAAAGUUAGUGUUUUUUUUUAUUAAUAUUUUUAUCACUUUAAUCAGAACUCUCAGUAAGCAGGUUUACCAUUUUCUAUGUAAAUGAGGUUUAACGCAAAACACUUAGAACUUAUAAAACUACCUAUGGUGUCCAUAAGACAUAAUUCCAAUAUAGGCGAAUUUGUGGCUAAGAAAGUUCACCAUGUCCUCCCACAUUGCGAGGUGACGCAA